AGCCACCUGGGACUGUUGAGUGAC
rnacentral:siRNA from 1 species